rnacentral:misc_RNA from 1 species
CAAUAUCAUAUGACCUAACAUAUCAAAACAAUAUUUCAUAUGUCAUGGUGCCUAGCAGGGAAAGAUAAAGCAAUAUAAGUUUGACCUGAAUAGAUCUUGCAACUCAACUGAGACAUUUAAAAUGAUAAUUUGUGUUAACUGCAAAAACAAAUAAGGCCUAAACAGUAGAGAAUAUAAAACUUGAUAAGACAUUACAAGCAG